rnacentral:lncRNA from 1 species
UUACAGGUAACACACACACACUACCCCUACAUCUAGUCCUUACAGGUAACACACACACACUACCCCUACGUCUAGUCCUUACAGGUAACACACACACUACCCCUACGUCUAGUCCUUACAGGUAACACACACACACUACCCCUACAUCUAGUCCUUACAGGUAACACACACACACUACCCCUACAUCUAGUCCUUACAGGUAACACACACACACUACCCCUACAUCUAGUCCUUACAGGUAACACACACACACUACCCCUACGUCUAGUCCUUACAGGUAACACACACACACUACCCCUACGUCUAGUCCUUACAGGUAACACACACACACUACCCCUACAUCUAGUCCUUACAGGUAACACACACACACUAC